GGGGAUUUAGCUCAGUGGUAGAGCGCUUGCCUAGCAAGCGCAAGGCCCUGAGGAGUUCAGUCUCCA
rfam:Rattus norvegicus chromosome 12, whole genome shotgun sequence.